rnacentral:rRNA from 1 species
CCCGUAACCCUCGUCAUUGCGAACAAAUUGCUCAACCUAACACGUGGAGCAUUGAUAGUAGCGAAAGAGGAAGGGACGGCUAACUCUGUGC